rnacentral:lncRNA from 1 species
GCUGGUUAGCUUCUUGGUUGUAGAUUGUUACUUGUUGUGUUUUUGUUCCCAGUGAUGCCAUUGAUGUUUUGACUUGAUUAUCUUAAAAAGAUGUUGAGUUGUGUGCUCUGAGUUUAGCCAUUCUCUACCAAUUCGUAAAGCUUCGUCAAUCAUGAUCGUGAAAUGAGUUGGCUUUCUCUGAUAUAAGAAGAACAGUUGAAAGAUGUAAUGGUAAAAGGAAAAGGAGUAAAGAAUCUUCAUUGCAAAUGUAGUAAGUUGACAAGGUCAGGAGUCUGACAUUGUUUAACUAGACAGGAAAUAGGAUGAUAGUUCAU